rnacentral:tRNA from 1 species
GGGAGUGUGGCUCAGAGGUAGAGCGCCUACCUUGCAUGCAGAAUAUUCCAGGUUAAAUCCAUGGCAUUUCCA